UACAGAGGUGGCAAGCGUUGUUCGGAUUUACUGGGCGUAAAGGGUCCGUAGGCGGUUUGGAAAGUCAGAUGUGAAAGCCCACAGCUCAACUGUGGAACUGCAUUUGAAACUUCCAGACUAGAGUGUGAGAGGGGUUAAGGGAAUUCCCGGUGUAAGGGUGAAAUCUGCAGAGAUCGGGAGGAACACCAGUCGCGAAGGCGCUUAACUGGCUCACAACUGACGCUCAGGGACGAAAGCUAGGGUAGCAAACGGG
rnacentral:rRNA from 1 species